UAAGUGAAAGCCAAAGUGCACCUAUCUGUUAAUUAGGCCUAUGCUAUUUAUAGCUCACUUAG
rnacentral:tRNA from 1 species